GAACGCUGGCGGCGUGCUUAACACAUGCAAGUCGAGCGGAAAGGCCCUUCGGGGUACUCGAGCGGCGAACGGGUGAGUAACACGUGAGCAACCUGCCCCAGGCUUUGGGAUAACCCCGGGAAACCGGGGCUAAUACCGAAUAUGACCUCUGACCGCAUGGUUGGUGGUGGAAAGUUUUUCGGCUUGGGAUGGGCUCGCGGCCUAUCAGCUUGUUGGUGGGGUGAUGGCCUACCAAGGCGACGACGGGUAGCCGGCCUGAGAGGGCGACCGGCCACACUGGGACUGAGACACGGCCCAGACUCCUACGGGAGGCAGCAGUGGGGAAUAUUGCACAAUGGGCGGAAGCCUGAUGCAGCGACGCCGCGUGAGGGAUGACGGCCUUCGGGUUGUAAACCUCUUUCAGCAGGGACGAAGCGUAAGUGACGGUACCUGCAGAAGAAGCGCCGGCCAACUACGUGCCAGCAGCCGCGGUAAGACGUAGGGCGCGAGCGUUGUCCGGAUUUAUUGGGCGUAAAGAGCUCGUAGGCGGC
rnacentral:rRNA from 1 species